rnacentral:tRNA from 1 species
GGGGAUAUAGCUCAGUGGUAGAGUGCUUGCCUAGCAUCCAUGAAGUCCUGGGUACAAUCCCCAGUACCACCA